AUUCAUUCUUUGAUGAUGAUCUUACUCUUAUGGACAGAAUCACUCCGUACAAUUGCUAUACUAUCCACAGUUAUGUUGACGGGACAAAAAAUUAGCUCACAGUAAAAAAUUACUGUCUCCAACAAUUGUACUAAUUCUUUAAAACAGCUUAGUUCUUCAUACUCGACGUCCCUAUUGCUACUCACUUCGGGAAAUACCAUGCUUUCCUAUUUUUUACUGAAAACCCCAAAGAUAGGGACUUCAAAUUUAUCCUUGUUACUGGUAAGGAAGUUUUCCAUAGCGCUCAGGAAAGUAAAGGUAAUACUUAUUAAAUGGCAUCCUUCGCCUCUUGGCUUCUUCAAAUUGAAUAUUGAUGGCUGUGUGAAAGACACAAGUAAUGCACUGGCCUGAAAAAUAUUAAACCCUCUCUAAUUGCUCUCCUCUCUUCCAAAAAUAACUGACUAAAACCCUAAAACCUUUUUUUCAUGGCCACGGCGGCCGGCGGCCAGCCUCCACCGGUGGCUGGUCUGCCCUCAACCAUCCCAAAUAACAAUACCCCAAAACUAAACCAUAUCACAACCUUUCAACCACCAGAACAAGCGGAAAAUCUAGACCUUAAACCUAUUACAUAUUUGCAUGGAGAACCUACUAUUGUGUGGACAAAGAGAGAAUUUGAGGAACUAUCACGACGCCAAAAUUUGAAAUAUGCUAUUAUUGCGAAAUUCUCGUAUGGCCCGCCAGAUCUACAUGAAUUGAAGAGGAUUUUGCCGAUUCAAUUAGAGAUCAAAGGACGUUGUGACAUUGGUGUUGUGACAUUGGUUUUUUAGAGGAGAGACACAUCUUAUUACGACUAUCUUUGCUGGAGGAUUAUGCUGCACUUACAUCAAAGAUAUUCCAAAGAUUUUAUUAACCCGGUUGAGGAUAACGAAAUGGUCUACGAAAUUUAAACCCGAGGCAGACUCUACAUUAGCUCCAGUUUGGAUAAAUCUCCCCUAGCAUUAUUAUGAAUGGGCUGCCCUUUGUAGAAUUGUUAGCCCCAUUGGCAACCCUAUUAUCAUGGACAAAGCUACUCAGACCAAAACAAGGCCCAGUACCGCAAAACUAAAAGUAGAAAUAGAUCUUCUCAAACCUUUAAUUCAUGAAGUCUCUGUAGCUAUCAGGGUGAAAUGCAGAAAUUUGAUCAAAAGAUUGAAUAUGAGACUAUUCCCUUAUUCUGUAAUCAUUGUAAAAUCUAGGGACAUGUUCAAAUCAAAUCUAGACUUCUUCAUCCGGAAUUAAGGGUAGAAAACACUACUAAGAAUGACAUGUUACACAAUGGUCAAAGGAAAACUCAAGGUGGGCAUACAAAGUAGACAACAAGGAAAAAACAACAAUCACAUCCCCAGGAUACAUACUCAACAAGCAGUGGCGGAUCCAGAAUUUUCAUUCAGGGUGUUCGGAAAAAAGAAGAAGCUAAAUAUACACUGUAAUUUUUUGCCGGGGUGUUCAAAAGUUAAUAUAUGCACAUAAAUACAGAAAAUUUACCCUAUAUAUACACUGUAAUUUUUUGCCGAGGGUGUUCGGGUGAACACCCUCGGCUCUUGGUGCAUCCGCCCCUGUCAACAAGAUGCUCAAUUAAGAGUACUAAAAGCUCCUGAAACUAAGAUGAAUAAAGGGGCAGAGAAUACUAUCAAACACUCAAAAAAACUCAGCAACUUAUAAGCUAAGCCAAACGGGCUCCAUAUCAUAACAAGAUAUACACAAACAAGUCAUACAUCAACAGGACAUUGAUCUUAUCUUUUAAAAACUUGUCCUUAUGUUGCGUAUAAAAUUAGUUCUUGCAGUGAUAAAGGUCUAGAUGGUCUUCUCUUUUAGAGCUCCAGCACAUUGCUCAUGUCUUUGUAAUGCUCUGUUUCUUUGACGCUUGCAGCUUCUUUCAUGGAUGAUACCAGAUUUGCUGAAAUUGUGCUAUUGAAAAGCUGAUUCAUUCUCAUAUGGAAAGAAUUAAAUAUUUUGUGUUUAUGAAUCCAGGUUGUCAUAGGAGGGUUUCUCUGGACACAGUUGUCUGUAUAAUACUUAUGUAACAAUCAGUACCUAAUCCCAAGCUCAUAUAAUUUUUUUUUGAUAUGUUGUGCACUUGUAGCUAUAGGUACUUGGAAAUGUUGCUCCAACUUAAAUUUUGUACUUAUGUUAAUAUUGUAUGAUUAUAUAAUGAGAACAAUCGCUGUAAAAUGUA